CAAUUAAAGGUGAGGUUCGGGUAAGGACACAGCCAAACCACAUCAACUAGUAAUUGGAUUUAGAACCACCCUAAUCUAGUAUAACCUCACCUUAGCUGAUUACGUCGGCGAAUACUUAUUUCCAAAUAACCACAUUCUGGCAUGCAUUUGGGGACAGAAACAGUUGGAUGAGUGGCCCUAUUCAACCUACUACACUAGCCAAAGAGUGAAUGUACCACUUCACAUUCCCAUCAGCAGUGUAUGAGUGAUCCAGUGCCUUCAGGUCAUCACCAGUGCUUUCAGGUCAUCACCAGGCCUCACUGAAGACAACUGGAGCUAGAAUCAGAGAGAUUUCCAGCAAUUCUUGAAACAAAGCAAAGUAAGAAAGCUCAAAGCUUUUGCAGAAAUUGUGACAUUUGCCUCAAGUUAAUGACCCCACUCCCUAUGUAGCUAUAAAUGAUAACAACAAUAACAAAAAGAGCGUAGCUAUUACAGUGACAUCCCUUUUCUUGAGAAAAAUAUUGCAAUUUAAAAUAAACUUUUAUUUCAGAGUUCAUCCACCGCCCUACCCCCAGCUUUCACACACACACACACACACACACACAAAUGUAAGCUUCAGAGAUAUUCACUCAAACUGAAAUAGCCAUCCAUGGAUUUUGGUCGUCUUUGUGUUAUAUCCUAAGAUAGUUUUUACCUUUCUUCCUGUGUGAUUUAGAUGCAGGUUAACAACAAAAACAAUGAAAAAUUUUAAAAAUCAACAGCUUGAAGAGUGCUAAUUACAACCAAUUAUAAUUUCAUUGUCCUGCCAUGGUUCACUAUGUCCUGGUUAAAAAAAUAAUAAUAAUUUUGCUUUCUAUACAUGUCUGGCUUUAUGCACAAGCCUGAUUGGAGAAGCUUAAUAUUCAACACAUGUGCAUAAAGUAAUCCUUUAGACUAGCAGUCUAAAGGUAGCAAUAACCUAUACAAUUCCUUGUGUUAAUUUCUAAUUAAUAUGAUUAAAUAAAUACCAUCAGACUUCAAAAGGACCAUUUACUUUAUGGAACCAGUGUUUAUUUAACUGGUAUGUGAAAUUGGUUUUCAUGUCAAUAAAGAUAUUAAAGUUUCUAUAUCGUGUAUUCAUCAUGAAAUCAUAGAAAUGACUAUACUAACAACAAAGAAGAAAGUUCCCUCAAAUCAAUUUGGUUCUUGAGGAAAGCAAUUCAAUUUUAAUGUAACCUACACUAGUUAACAAAAGAUAUUUCGUGAGCUUUGGUUAGAAAUGUAACACAGUAACCUAGAAUUACCUUACAUCUAAGUUUAGCAACUACCAUUUUCAAACUGUCUGUACCUAGCUUAAAAAGUUGUCUACUCCCAUCUAGCGGUCAUAACGUUAAAUUUCCUUUCAAAACUUAGCAGCCUGAAUGGUCUACAUUAAGGCAAAUGUAACUGCUGUUUUAUUGUCAGAAUUAAAUAAUUAAUGCAGUUAACAACAUCUGCAUAGAUUAAGUAAUUCAGCCUCAUGGGUUUUGUUGAUAGCAGUAAUUUUAAAGGCAGCAUAAAAUGGUUUUAGUCUGAUUUAUGGAGCGUAGCUCAUGCUGCCAGAGCCGCAUGGAGCUCAUUGACUGAAAAACUCCGAGGAUCACUCAGGAGGAUUGCCACAGUUCUAU